GAUUAAUUUUCAGUAAUGGAAUGACUGGGUCAAAGGAGAUCAACAUUGCUGUGGCUCUUUCAGGUUCUCUUAAAUUCCAUGGAUUUUAACUUUGGCCCAUGACCUCCUUGACCUCUGGAAAUGUGACAUCCUGCACCUGCUGCAUCAGGGCUCUUCCCUGGUCUUGCCUACACUUGUGUCUACACAGGCUUCCUGUCCAUAUCACUUGCUUCUGCAUAAAGUGGGUGCAGAAGAUAAUGAGACGGAUUUGACCGCGGUGAACAGGCAGGCACACAAGAUGGAGCAGGCCCUGGUGAUAAACCCCAAUUCAAGUGAGAGGAAGUAUGAGGAACCAGAUUGGAAGAUGGAGUCCAGUGCCCAGAGAUCAUGGUCCAGGCAGGAUAAGAAGGAUAAUAGGAGUCAGUGAAGAAGUGGUCAGCACCAAAGGAGGAGAGCGUUUAAAGGAAAAGAGGUUGAUAAACCAGAGGGAUAGUCUGAGAGAGAAACUGAAGGUCAAAAUCAACGCAGUGGUGCCGAACAGAAGGGCCCGAGGUGCGAUGAGUAUAAUAUGAACACGAAGGAAAACAGCGAGUUCAGAAGCCUGGAGAAUCAGAAGCAGGUCAAGCGCUGGGGUUCAGGGCAAAGACCCUGAACACUGUGAAGGUGUUGGAGACCUGUUUUGAGGUGGCACUGCGGCUCAAUGUGAGUGCAGACCUGAGAGAUUAAAGUGCCUACGAAGGGCCAAAUACCUGUCCCUUCAUGACAUGAC
rnacentral:lncRNA from 1 species